GAUUUACUGGGCGUAAAGCGUGUGCAGGUGGUUUGGUAAGUUGGAUGUGAAAGCUCCUGGCUCAACUGGGAGAGGUCGUUCAAUACUACCAGACUUGAGAGCAGUAGAGGGAGGUGGAAUUCCCGGUGUAGUGGUGAAAUGCGUAGAUAUCGGGAGGAACACCAGUGGCGAAAGCGGCCUCCUGGACUGUUUCUGACACUCAGACACGAAAGCUAGGGUAGCAAACGGGAUUAGAGACCCCGGUAGUCCUAGCUGUAAACGAUGUGAACUUGGCGUCGGCGGGUUCAAAGCCGUCGGUGCCGAAGCUAACGCGAUAAGUUCACCGCCUGGGGACUACGGCCGCAAGGUUAAAACUCAAAGGAAUUGACGGGUCCCCGCACGAGCAGCGGAGCGUGUGGUUUAAUUCGAUGUUACACGAAGAACCUUACCCAGGUUUGACAUGUUGGUGGUAGGGAAGCGAAAGCAGACCGACCCGCAAGGGAGCCUUCACAGGUGUUGCAUGGCUGUCGUCAGCUCGUGUCGUGAGAUGUUCGGUUAAGUCCGCCAACGAGCGCAACCCUCGCCGUAUGUUACAAGUGUCAUACGGGACCGCCGGUAUCAAGCCGGAGGAAGGUGGGGAUGACGUCAAGUCAGCAUGGCCUUUAUACCUGGGGCUACACACACGCUACAAUGGCCGGUACAAUGGGUCGCUAAGCCGCGAGGUAGAGCCAAUCCCUAAAGCCGGUCUCAGUUCAGAUCACAGGCUGCAACUCGCCUGUGUGAAGUCGGAGUUGCUAGUAAACGCGCGUCAGCUAUAGUGCGUUGAAUAC
rnacentral:rRNA from 1 species